rnacentral:rRNA from 1 species
GGGAAUCUACCGUGCCCUGCGGAAUAGCUCCGGGAAACUGGAAUUAAUACCGCAUACGCCCUACGGGGGAAAGAUUUAUCGGGGUAUGAUGAGCCCGCGUUGGAUUAGCUAGUUGGUGGGGUAAAGGCCUACAAAGGCGACGAUCCAUAGCUGGUCUGAGAGGAUGAUCAGCCACAUUGGGACUGAGACACGGCCCAAACUCCUACGGGAGGCAGCAGUGGGGAAUAUUGGACAAUGGGCGCAAGCCUGAUCCAGCCAUGCCGCGUGAGUGAUGAAGGCCUUAGGGUUGUAAAGCUCUUUCACCGGUGAAGAUAAUGACGGUAACCGGAGAAGAAGCCCCGGCUAACUUCGUGCCAGCAGCCGCGGUAAUACGAAGGGGGCUAGCGUUGUUCGGAAUUACUGGGCGUAAAGCGCACGUAGGCGGAUAUUUAAGUCAGGGGUGAAAUCCCAGAGCUCAACUCUGGAACUGCCUUUGAUACUGGGUAUCUUGAGUAUGGAAGAGGUAAGUGGAAUUGCGAGU